ensembl:snRNA U6 spliceosomal RNA
GCCUGCUUCGGCAGCAGAUAUACUAGAAUUGAGAUGAUACAGAGAAGAUUAGCAUGGUCCCUGCUCAAGGAUGACACGCAAAAUCAUGAAGUCUUCCAUAUUUUU